rnacentral:rRNA from 1 species
UACGGAGGGUGCAAGCGUUAUCCGGAUUCACUGGGUUUAAAGGGUGCGUAGGUGGGCAGGUAAGUCAGUGGUGAAAUCUCCGGGCUCAACCCGGAAACUGCCAUUGAUACUACAGGUCUUGAAUUUUCUGGAGGAUAGCGGAAUAUGUCAUGUAGCGGUGAAAUGCUUAGAUAUGACAUAGAACACCAAUUGCGAAGGCAGCUAUCUACAGGGAUAUUGACACUGAGGCACGAAAGCGUGGGGAUCAAACAGG